GACGAACGCUGGCGGCGUGCUUAACACAUGCAAGUCGAACGCUGAAGCUCAGCUUGCUGGGUGGAUGAGUGGCGAACGGGUGAGUAACACGUGAGUAACCUGCCCUCUUCUUUGGGAUAACGCCCGGAAACGGGUGCUAAUACUGGAUAUUCACUGAUUCUCGCAUGGAGGUUGGUGGAAAGGUUUUUUCUGGUGGGGGAUGGGCUCGCGGCCUAUCAGCUUGUUGGUGGGGUGAUGGCCUACCAAGGCUUUGACGGGUAGCCGGCCUGAGAGGGUGACCGGUCACAUUGGGACUGAGAUACGGCCCAGACUCCUACGGGAGGCAGCAGUGGGGAAUAUUGCACAAUGGGCGAAAGCCUGAUGCAGCGACGCCGCGUGAGGGAUGGAGGCCUUCGGGUUGUAAACCUCUUUCGCUCAUGGUCAAGCCGCAGCUUUGGGUUGUGGUGAGGGUAGUGGGUAAAGAAGCGCCGGCUAACUACGUG
rnacentral:rRNA from 1 species